rnacentral:rRNA from 1 species
AUUGAACGCUGGCGGCAGGCCUAACACAUGCAAGUCGGACGGUAGCACAGAGGAGCUUGCUCCUCGGGUGACGAGUGGCGGACGGGUGAGUAAUGUCUGGGGAUCUGCCCGAUAGAGGGGGAUAACCACUGGAAACGGUGGCUAAUACCGCAUAACGUCGCAAGACCAGAGAGGGGGACCUUCGGGCCUCUCACUAUCGGAUGAACCCAGAUGGGAUUAGCUAGUAGGCGGGGUAACGGCCCACCUAGGCGACGAUCCCUAGCUGGUCUGAGAGGAUGACCAGCCACACUGGAACGGAGACACGGUCCAGACUCCUACGGGAGGCAGCAGUGGGGAAUAUUGCACAAUGGGCACAAGCCUGAUGCAGCCAUGCCGCGUGUAUGAAGAAGGCCUUCGGGUUGUAAAGUACUUUCAGCGGGGAGGAAGGCGAUAAGGUUAAUAACCUUGUCGAUUGACGUUACCCGCAGAAGAAGCACCGGCUAACUCCGUGCCAGCAGCCGCCGUAA